rnacentral:rRNA from 1 species
GCAGUCGAACGGAGCUGAGAGGAGCUUGCUUUUCUUAGCUUAGUGGCGAACGGGUGAGUAACGCGUGAGUAACCUGCCCUGGAGUGGGGGACAACAGUUGGGAACGACUGCUAAUACCGCAUAAGCCCACGGAUCCGCAUGGAUCUGCGGGAAAAGGAUUUAUUCGCUUCAGGAUGGACUCGCGUCCAAUUAGCUAGUUGGUGAGGUAACGGCCCACCAAGGCGACGAUUGGUAGCCGGACUGAGAGGUUGAACGGCCACAUUGGGACUGAGACACGGCCCAGACUCCUACGGGAGGCAGCAGUGGGGGAUAUUGCACAAUGGGGGAAACCCUGAUGCAGCGACGCCGCGUGGAGGAAGAAGGUUUUCGGAUUGUAAACUCCUGUCGUUAGGGACGAUAAUGACGGUACCUAACAAGAAAGCACCGGCUAACUACGUGCCAGCAGCCGCGGUAAAACGUAGGGUGCAAGCGUUGUCCGGAAUUACUGGGUGUAAGGGGAGCGCAGGCGGACCGGCAAGUUGGAAGUGAAAACUAUGGGCUCAACCCAUAAAUUGCUUUCAAAACUGCUGGCCUUGAGUAGUGCAGAGGUAGGUGGAAUUCCCGGUGUAGCGGUGGAAUGCGUAGAUAUCGGGAGGAACACCAGUGGCGAAGGCGACCUACUGGGCACCAACUGACGCUGAGGCUCGAAAGCAUGGGUAGCAAACAGGAUUAGAUACCCUGGUAGUCCAUGCCGUAAACGAUGAUUACUAGGUGUUGGAGGAUUGACCCCUUCAGUGCCGCAGUUAACACAAUAAGUAAUCCACCUGGGGAAUACGACCGCAAGGUUGAAACUCAAAGGAAUUGACGGGGGCCCGCACAAGCAGUGAAGUAUGUG